rnacentral:lncRNA from 1 species
CUCAGUGUGACAUGCAAUCCAGAGAUCUGGAAAUAAAGGUCAUGUCAGAUUGAGAAAUCCUUUAGAUUAUAAAUUCUUCAAGUCCUAAAGUUGUGAAGACUGUGCAGGGCCGUCCUAAUUCCCUAAUAAGUUACUUAACAAGAAGUAAAUGCCUUCCCACUUUAUGAAAGCUUCCCUUGGCUCCAGACAUGGACAGGGCUGGCAAGUCUGCCUUCUCCAACACACACGGAAGUGUUUAUAGGGAAUGGGGUCUGAUCACAGUCAAAGAAAGGUCUAGGAAAAAAUCAAUGGACGUUCAUGAGAGAAAAAUUACACAUGAUGAUGAGGUUGUAGGACAUGUGGGAUGAGAAGAUUCUCGUGCUGAUACUCCAGAGAUGCCCAAGAGCACAGAGCCAGUGUUAAAGCCCUCCCUCUGAAUCAGCAUAGAACAUAAGUUCUCCAGUCACAGAACAUAAGGACUCCGUGGUCUUGGCCUGUCUCACAAAUGACACUGGGAUCUCCUUCCAGUGAUUUUUCAUUGACCAGAGUCUGUGGCCCACAGAGAGGAUGAAGCUGUUCCAGUAUAAGAGAGAGGUCACCAUAGACCCUGUCUUGAGGGAGGAUGCUGGGGAUUACCAGUGUGAGAACUUCAAUCUGGUUAGUUUCAGCAAAAGUGCCCUCUUCCGGCUUAACGUGAAAUAUGAGUUUGACACUGUGGCUGUCUUACCCUGCUCUAUGUCAUUAAACUCUGAGCAGACUUUUUCUUUAUCUGUAUAACGAUGUUUCUCAUGCAAUCUUAAGUAGAGUUGUUGUAACUAGUUAGUGAUGAAAGUGGAAAGUCCUUAGAAGACUAAACUGAGUGAUAAGAAGCACAGUAAAGUGGACUGACAUCGUCAUUAUCAUUUGCUCAAGGUCACAUUCCACUCCAGAUCCUGUCUUUUGGUCUCAGUUGCACCAUUUCAACGGGAAUGACAGGCAAUGUUUGUGCAAUGAGGAGUGGGGGCCCAAGAUAAGCUCUCAGGAAUCAGAGCUCUAUUCCUCUUCCAG